AACCACAGUAGUCAUAUGCUUGUCUCAAAGAUUAAGCCAUGCAUGUGUAAGUAUGAACAAAUUCAGACUGUGAAACUGCGAAUGGCUCAUUAAAUCAGUUAUAGUUUGUUUGAUGGUAUCUACUACUCGGCUAACCAUAGUAAUUCUAGAGCUAAUAUGUGCAAAAACCACGACAUGUGGAAGGGAUACAUUUAUUAGAUAAAAGGUCGACGCGGGCUCUGCCCGUUGCUGCGAUGAUUCAUGAUAACUCGACGGAUCGCACGACCAUCGUGAUGGUGACGCAUCAUUCAAAUUUCUGCCCUAUCAACUUUCGAUGGUAGGAUAGUGGCCUACCAUGGUAGUGACAGGUGAUGGAGAAUUAGGGUUCGAUUCCUGAGAGGGAGCCUGAGAAAUGAUUACCACAUCCAAAGAAGGUCGUAGGUGCGCAAAUUACACAAUUCUGACACAGGGAGGUAGUGACAAUAAAUAACAGUACUGGGCUCUACUAGUUUGGUAAUUGGAAUGAGUACAAUCUAAAUCCCUUAACGAGGAUCCAUUGGAGGGCAAGUCUAGUGCUAGGAGUCGCGGUAAUUCGUGCUCCAAUAGCGUAUAUUUAAGUUGUUGUAGUUAAAAAGCUCGUAGUUGGACUUUGGGAUGGGUCGGUUGGUUCGUCCUAGGUGUGCACCGGUCGUCUCAUCCCUUCUGUAGGCAAUGCGUUCCUGGCCUUAAUUGGUUGGGUUAUGCCUCCGGAUGUGGCAUGUGCGCAUCGGGCAAUGUCGGCCAAUGGCAGGUGGCAUUAGCAAAGGCCUACAUGCUUUGGAUGUGGCAUGUGCAGAUCGGGCAAGCAAUGUUAGCCAACGACAUGUAGAAUCAGCGAAGGCCUUCAUGCACUAGACGUGGCCUGUGCACUUUGGCAGGGCAACAUUGGCCAUUGCCUACUCGCAUCAACCAGGCGUCAUCGAUUAUGGCUUGAGCGCAUCGGCCAGGCGAAAUAGGCCGUGGCAUGCCAACAUCGGUUGUGGCCUACGUGCAUCAGCCAGACGACAUAGGCCGUUGUCUGCUCACAUAGGUGGUGGCCUACGCGCAUAAGUUAGGUAAGAUAGGGCAUGGCAUUUGCGCAUCAAUCAAGCGAUAUAGGCCGUAGACUUCCCACAUUGGCGAUGGCUUGUGCACAUCGAUCAAUCGACGU
rnacentral:ncRNA from 1 species